rnacentral:rRNA from 1 species
GUGAAGUCGUAACAAGGUAACCGUAGGGGAACCUGCGGUUGGAUCACCUCCUUACUUUAAAGAAGC